GACGAACGCUGGCGGCGUGCCUAAUACAUGCAAGUCGAACGAACCGCGACUAGGUGCUUGCACUUGGUCAAGGUGCGUGGCGAACGGGUGCGUACCACGUGGGUAACCUACCUCAUAGUGGGGGAUAACAGUCGGAAACGACUGCUAAUACCGCAUAGGACAUAGGAUCACAUGAUCCAGUGAGGAAAGGUGGCGCAAGCUAUCGCUAAAAGAUGGACCCGCGGUGCAUUAGCUAGUUGGUAGGGUAAAGGCCUACCAAGGCGAUGAUGCAUAGCCGACCUGAGAGGGUGAUGGGCCACAUUGGGACUGAGACACGGCCCAAACGCCUACGGGAGGCAGCAGUAGGGAAUCUUCCGCAAUGCACGCAAGUCUGACGGAGCAACGCCGCGUGAGUGAAGAAGUUCUUCGGAUCGUAAAGCUCUGUUGUUAGAGAAGAACAGCGCAUAGAGUAACUGUUAUGCGUGUGACGGUAUCUAACCAGAAAGCCACGGCUAACUACGCG
rnacentral:rRNA from 1 species